AUUGAAUGCUGGCGGCAUGCUUUACACAUGCAAGUCGAACGGCAGCGCGGGCUUCGGCCUGGCGGCGAGUGGCGAACGGGUGAGUAAUACAUCGGAACGUGCCCAGUAGUGGGGGAUAGCUCGGCGAAAGCCGGAUUAAUACCGCAUACGACCUGAGGGUGAAAGCGGGGGAUCUUCGGACCUCGCGCUAUUGGAGCGGCCGAUGGCAGAUUAGCUAGUUGGUGGGGUAAAGGCCUACCAAGGCGACGAUCUGUAGCUGGUCUGAGAGGACGACCAGCCACACUGGGACUGAGACACGGCCCAGACUCCUACGGGAGGCAGCAGUGGGGAAUUUUGGACAAUUGGCGAAAGCCUGAUCCAGCAAUGCCGCGUGUGUGAUGAAGGCCUUCGGGUUGUAAAGCACUUUUGGCGGGAACGAAAAGGACUGUGCCAAUACCACGGUUCGAUGACGGUACCCGCAGAAUAAGCACCGGCUAACUACGUG
rnacentral:rRNA from 1 species